rnacentral:rRNA from 1 species
AAAAGAAACCAACAGGGAUUACCUCAGUAACGGCGAGUGAAGCGGUAACAGCUCAAAUUUGAAAGCUAGCUCUUUUAGGGUUCGCAUUGUAAUUUGUAGAAGAUGCUUCGGGUGUGGCCCCGGUCUAAGUUCCUUGGAACAGGACGUCAUAGAGGGUGAGAAUCCCGUAUGUGACUGGGUGCUUUCGCUCAUGUGAAGCUCUUUCGACGAGUCGAGUUGUUUGGGAAUGCAGCUCAAAAUGGGUGGUAAAUUUCAUCUAAAGCUAAAUAUUGGCCAGAGACCGAUAGCGCACAAGUAGAGUGAUCGAAAGAUGAAAAGCACUUUGGAAAGAGAGUUAAACAGUACGUGAAAUUGUUGAAAGGGAAGCGCUUGCAACCAGACUUGCGCGCUGAUGAUCAUCCGGGCUUCUGUCCGGUGCACUCGUCUGCGCUCAGGCCAGCAUCGGUUUCGGUGGUGGGAUAAAGGCCUUGGGAAUGUAGCUCCUCUCGGGGAGUGUUAUAGCCCUCGGUGCAAUGCCGCCUAUCGGGACCGAGGACCGCGCUUCGGCUAGGAUGCUGGCGUAAUGGUUGUAAGCGACCCGUCUUGAAACACGGACCAAGGAGUCUAACAUCUAUGCGAGUGUUUGGGUGUCAAACCCAUACGCGUAAUGAAAGUGAACGGAGGUGAGAACCCUUAAGGGUGCAUCAUCGACCGGUCCUGAUGUCUUCGGAUGGAUCUGAGUAAGAGCAUAGCUGUUGGGACCCGAAAGAUGGUGAACUAUGCGUGAAUAGGGUGAAGCCAGAGGAAACUCUGGUGGAGGCUCGCAGCGGUUCUGACGUGCAAAUCGAUCGUCAAAUUUGCGUAUAGGGGCGAAAGACUAAUCGAACCAUCUAGUAGCUGGUUCCUGCCGAAGUUUCCCCUC